UGAGCAAAAAGGGGUCCAAAGAGGCGCACUAAAACAACAAUGGUUAGCUCCUCCACUGGCAACUCCAGAGAUGCCAAGUUUUGUAGGGCCACUGCAAGCGUGGCCAAGUUGGUAUUCUCGCAGCGGACAAAGAGGCCAUCGUCGCUGCCCUUUACACAUAAGCAGGGGUAUAAGACUUGAGGUCUGUGCACACAAUUAAAAAAAUUAAAUAAUGCAUGAUUAUUAUAUA